rnacentral:rRNA from 1 species
UAUGGACGGGAAUAACCUCGGGAAACUGAGAAUAAUGCCCGAUAGAACAUUAUACCUGGAACGGUUUAUGUUUCAAAUGAUUUAUCGCCGUAGGAUGGGACUGCGGCCUAUCAGUUUGUUGGUGAGGUAAUGGCCCACCAAGACUAUUACAGGUACGGGCUCUGAGAGGAGUAGCCCGGAGAUGGGUACUGAGACACGGACCCAGGCCCUAUGGGGCGCAGCAGGCGAGAAAACUUUGCAAUGUGCGAAAGCACGACAAGGUUAAUCCGAGUGGUUUCUGCUAAAGAAACCUUUUGCUAGUCCUAGAAACACUAGUGAAUAAGGGGUGGGCAAGUUCUGGUGUCAGCCGCCGCGGUAAAACCAGCACCUCAAGUGGUCAGGAUGAUUAUUGGGCCUAAAGCAUCCGUAGCCGGCUCUGUAAGUUUUCGGUUAAAUCUGUACGCUCAACGUACAGGCUGCCGGGAAUACUGCAGAGCUAGGGAGUGGGAGAGGUAGACGGUACUCGGAAGGAAGGGGUAAAAUCCUUUGAUCUUUUGAUGACCACCUGUGGCGAAGGCGGUCUACCAGAACACGUCCGACGGUGAGGGAUGAAAGCUGGGGGAGCAAACCGGAUUAGAUACCCGGGUAGUCCCAGCUGUAAACUAUGCAAACUCAGUGAUGCAUUGACUUGUGGUCAAUGCAGUGCCGCAGGGAAGCCGUUAAGUUUGCCGCCUGGGAAGUACGUACGCAAGUAUGAAACUUAAAGGAAUUG